rnacentral:lncRNA from 1 species
CUAAAGACUUAAAAAUUAAGCGCUGAAUGGGAGGCAACCCAUUUUUUAUUAAAAAAAAAUAAAAAAUAAUUUAAAAAUCAUUAUUUAAAAUUAAUAAAUUAUAUUUACUAGUAAUUAAUAGUAAUUUCCGUAUUUCUUAAUAUUAGCAUUAUUUAAAAAAUUUAGUAAUUAGACGAGGAAUUAUUGCCAUCGAUCGAUGUGGGCAUAUCGACUGUUUUAACACUAAUUUCACUCGAUAUCAGCCCACUUCCU